AUUGAACGCUGGCGGCAGGCCUAACACAUGCAAGUCGAGCGAGCGGCGGACGGGUGAGUAAUGUAUGGGGACUGCCCGAUCGAGGGGGAUAACUACUGGCAACGGUGGCUAAUACCGCAUACUAUUGGAUAACCCAUAUGGGAUUAGCUAGUAGGUGGGGUAAAGGCUCACCUAGGCGACGAUCUCUCGCUGGUCGGAGAGGAUGAGCAGCCAAGCGGUGACUGAGACACGGCCCAGAGUCCAACGGAGGCAGAAGUGGGGAAUAUGGCACAAGGGGCGCAGGCCUGAUGCAGCCAUGCCGCGUGUAUGGAGAGGGCCUUAGGGUUGUAAGGGACUUUCAGCGGGGAGACGUUACCCGCAGAAGAAGCACCGGCUAACUCCGUGCCAGCAGCCGCGGUAAUAC
rnacentral:rRNA from 1 species